rnacentral:rRNA from 2 species
ACUCUGGUAACUGAUUUUUGAUGCUUGCAUCAAAAUGAAGAUACAUUUGAGUGAGCGGCGGAUGGGUGAGUAACACGUGGGUAACCUGCCCUAAAGUGGGGGAUAACAUCUGGAAACAGGUGCUAAUACCGCAUAACAACAAUUUCCACAUGGUCAUUGUUUGAAAGAUGGUUCUGCUAUCGCUUUAGGAUGGACCCGCGGCGUAUUAGCUAGUUGGUGAGGUAACGGCUCACCAAGGCGAUGAUACGUAGCCGACCUGAGAGGGUAAUCGGCCACAUUGGGACUGAGACACGGCCCAAACUCCUACGGGAGGCAGCAGUAGGGAAUCUUCCACAAUGGACGAAAGUCUGAUGGAGCAACGCCGCGUGAGUGAAGAAGGUUUUCGGAUCGUAAAACUCUGUUGUUGAAGAAGAACAUGCGUGAGAGUAACUGUUCAUGUAUUGACGGUAUUCAACCAGAAAGCCACGGCUAACUACGUGCCAGCAGCCGCGGUAAUACGUAGGUGGCAAGCGUUAUCCGGAUUUAUUG